AGUAUUCUUGAAGGUCCAUCCAAUGUGCUCAGCUUUUUGGUGCAAUUUCAAGUUCAAGAUUUUUUUUUUUUUAUGUCAAGUUACCAUUUCCUGUAACCAACUCUAGAAACAGUAAAGACUUGUGAUUUCUCUUUUGGAGGGUGGAGUUGGUGGAGGAAGCAAUUGGAAAAAUGAGUCUGUAGAAAUCUACAGUCAGCACUUCUAUUGUUAGAGUGAGAAAGUACUGAGUCAGUUAUGUCAUUCGCAACCUAUAGUUAUUGGCUCUCUUUCCAAGGUAUUAGGUUCAACACGAGCACUUCCAUAUUCAUUUCUUAUUUCUUUAAGGUACCCUGUCUAUCUUUUGCCUCUAUAUCGUGGACCCAAACAAGUUCUUAUCCAACAUAGUCACAUUAAUAUGAACUUACAGGACAGAAUGUAGCAAGGAAGGAUGAUAAUGUAGUGAUGUAUAUAGCACUAACGAGCAAGAAAACAAAUAUGACCUAAGAACCAGCAGCUUUUGUGCAUCUUAAUCGCCUGCUUCUUGCUUUAGAAAUGUUGCUCAUUAGAUAACUGUUUCCAAUAAAGCUUGCACUAGGCUCUCACCUUUUUUGGCUUAGCCAUAGCAUUUUAUUGGUAAUGGGUUGAUUAUUGAAUCUAGUCGAAAUUAUAUAGCUGAAUGUAGAGAUCAGCAGUGUCCUACUUGAGAAGAACCUCUUAUCAUCCACAAACUGAAAAGAAUUAGAGAAAAAGCUUGAGAAAGCGUCCUUGGAAGGGGUAAUAUUUGACAAGUGUUAGUGGAACCCAUCCUCUCGUUGUCAAAGAGGACAUAAGUGAAAUUACACGACAGACGGAAAGUGGAGAACAUCAUUUUCCAAUUUUCUCUUCAGUAAGGAAAGAAAGCACUGCCAAAACCAAUAAGAAAGAAGAAAUUGCGUGAUAAUCUGAAUGUCCUCUGUGGAGAUUUUUAAAAUCUACUUACACGUUGCAGCUGAUAAGGAGGAAGAGGGAGAAAAAAAAAAAAAAAAAAAAAAGAUAGCUGAUAAAAUGUGGUAGUGCUGGAUACUUCAUUAUGAAGAGAUACUACACUCUUCUACAGCAGCAAGCAGAGAACUGGGAGUUCAAUUAGCCUUAAAAAAUGCUUUGGAGAACAAGAGCACCCCCUAAAGCAGUCUGUUUUGGAUGGAUAGCUGCAAAAGAGGCUUGUCUAACUCAAGCUGCUCUUCAGAAAAGAGGCCUAUCUCUCUGCAAUAGAUGUUUCUUAUGUGAAGCCUCAUUGGAAACAAACAAUCAUCUUCUACUUCACUUUAAAUCCUCCUGGCAUAUAUGGUCAUGUAUUCUUAACAUUUUUGGACUCAGCUGGCUGAUGCCCCAGGAUGUGAGAAGCCUUUUAUCUUGCUGGAAAGGACAGUGUAUUGAGAAGAGGAAGAAGAAGACUUGGAAGACUGCCCCAGUAUGCCUAAUGUGGACACUGUGGUUGGAGAGAAACAAUAGAUGCUUUGAAGGGAAGAAAUUGCAUCUAUCCUUUGUGAAAUAUAGAUGCUUCUAGACACUGCAUUUGUGGUGCAAGAGUAGUCCAUUGGAAAACCCAACUCUGCUCUUGGAGUUUUUGGUCUUUGAUGUUGUAACUAUAGCAGUGAACUUGUUCAUAUCUUUUGUACUUUUUAUGUACCUUGGUACUAAUCAUCAAUAAAACUUUACCUUAUCAAAAAAAGAAAAAGAAUGUGGUUAGUGCCUUCCAGGGACAGUGAAGGCACAUACCAAAUAGUCAAACAAUGGGAACAAAUCUGGACAUGGUGAUAGGUGAGCUCCGCACAAGUCUGAUGAGGGUCAAAACGAGUGGUUGUGGCAAUCUCCAACAAGAAUACAACCACUUUAGAAGCGUCGAUGCCAUUCAGGAACAGUCCCAGAGGCAAUUUCCAGGUUUCUCGCACUGCUUUUUGUUUGUGAGGAAGUGUCAUGCUGGCAUGGAUAAGUGCGUGCCUGAAUGUUUCAAACUGCCACGUACUUAGAAAUUUGGUUUACCAGUCUAAGCUCAGUAAGCACUUUGCGAGGAAUGAACAAAAGGAUAGCUCCAUCUGCUUCACGUUAUACUGAAUCAGUAAUUGUAGCAGCUCGCCCUAGGGAUUAAGCAUGGAGUGUGAAAGCCUUCAGUUUAUUAGAAUUGUCAAAACGAGGAAAAUUUAGUUCUUCAGAGUUGUUUUUCUUAGUACUGUCACAUGUUGGAGAUAAUCGCGGAGAUAGCAUAUUUGCAAUUGAUACUGUCAUUAUGAGACUCCUUUUUCUCAUGCUGGCUAUAGAAAUCACGCGUUGCACUCUUACCCUUGAGCCAAAGCCUGGGGACUUGAAAGGCCAAGUAUACAAAUCACAAAGAACUAAUGUGGAGUGAUAGAAAAAUAGAGAUCAUUGAUUGCCCAGAAAACAAAGCCAUCUUCAGUUUGGUUUGUGAUAGCUUAUGUUAUUCACAAGUUGCCCUGUGUUUGGGUUCUAUAUAGGGGUGGGCGUUCGGUUCUUCGGUUCGGUUUUAUCAAACUUCGGUUUGGCUAUUUUGGUUUCGGUUUUUUGAAGGUGGACACCGAACACCGAACCAAACUAGUUUGGUUCGGUUCUUUUGGUUUCGGUUUUUUGAAGUU